AUUGAACGCUGGCGGCAGGCCUAACACAUGCAAGUCGAACGGGUGGCGGACGGGUGAGUAAUGUCUGGGAAACUGCCUGAUGGAGGGGGAUAACUAAUGGAAACGGUAGCUAAUACCGCAUACCAUCAGAUGUGCCCAGAUGGGAUUAGCUAGUUGGUGGGUUAACGGCUCACCAAGGCGACGCGCCCUAGCUGGUCUAAGAGGAUGACCAGACACACGUGAACUGAGACACGGUCCAGAGUCCUACGGGAGGCAGCAGUGGGGAAGUUUGCACAAUGGGAGCAAGCCUGAUGCAGCCAUGCCGCGGGUAUGAAGAAGGCCUUCGGGUUGUAAAGUACUUUCAGCGGGGAGGCGUUACCCGCAGAAGAAGCACCGGCUAACUCCGUGCCAGCAGCCGCGGUAAUAC
rnacentral:rRNA from 1 species